UCUAAAGCGCCUAUGGAAGAAUGACCGAUUCUUCAACCAGAUCUCCUAUUACUUGGCCGUUGCUUUGGUAAUCUGGGCGGUCUUUUCGAUUUUGAAAUGGGUCGUGAAACGUAUCUUAAAAAAAAAAUAAUGAUUCGAAAUAGAAGGUCCAUUUUUUUAUGUCAGCAGAAGAAGUCCAAGCCCACGAAAUUGUUGAUAUGGUCCCGGAUUCCUCUUUCUUAAAAAAAAAUAAAGAAAAAUAUACUAUGCCUACGCUAAUAUUAAGUAAAAAAGCAUGGCACUUCGAAAACAUCACAAACUAUUCUGGAUACUCCAAAAUAGUAUCACAUCGCUUGGUAAUCGAGGCUAACAGUAGUUUAUAUAUAUACAAC
rnacentral:lncRNA from 1 species